AAUGGGCGCAAAGCCUGAUCCACCCAUGCCGCGUGAGUGAUGAAGGCCCUAGGGUCGUAAAGCUCUUUCGCCUGUGAAGAUAAUGACGGUAGCAGGUAAAGAAACCCCGGCUAACUCCGUGCCAGCAGCCGCGGUAAUACGGAGGGGGUUAGCGUUGUUCGGAAUUACUGGGCGUAAAGCGCGCGUAGGCGGAUUAGUAAGUCAGAGGUGAAAUCCCGGGGCUCAACCCCGGAACUGCCUUUGAUACUGCUAGUCUUGAGUUCGAGAGAGGUAAGUGGAAUUCCGAGUGUAGAGGUGAAAUUCGUAGAUAUUCGGAGGAACACCAGUGGCGAAGGCGGCUUACUGGCUCGAUACUGACGCUGAGGUGCGAAAGUGUGGGGAGCAAACAGGAUU
rnacentral:rRNA from 1 species